ACCAAAGAGUGUGAGAGUCACGUAGAUGAAAACGGCGAGAGCUGCGCGAGUUCCAGAGUACGGCCAGACACGUGAAACCUGGUCGGAAGAUGGGGGGACCACCCUCCAACCCUAAAUACUACCCAGUGACCGAUAGCGUAUAGUACUGUGAAGGAAAGGUGAAAAGGACCCCGGGAGGGGAGUGAAAUAGAACCUGAAACCUUGUGCCUACAAGCACAUAGAGCACAUCAACGUGUGAUAUGGUACUUUUUGUAGAACGGUCCGGCGAGCGAUUGUAUGUUGCGAGCUUAAGGUCUUAAGGACUGGAGGCGUAGCGAGAGCGAGUCUGAACAGGGCGUUCAGUAACAUGCAAUGGGCCCGAAACCGGGUGACCUACCCAUGAUCAGGCUGAAGUGAAAGUAAAAUUUCAUGGAGGGCCGAACCGACCUCCGUUGAAAAGGCGGCGGAUGAAUUGUGGGUAGCGGAGAAAUUCCAAUCGAACUCGGAGAUAGCUGGUUCUCCCCGAAAUAGCUUUAGGGCUAGCCUCAUAUUAGAUACCCGGAGGUAAAGCACUGAAUGGCCUAGCGCCCGAGAGGGUAGCGAAGCCUAUCAAACUAAGAAUGCCGGAGUAUUGAUGUAUGGGAGUCAGACAGUGUGAGAUAAAUCUCAUUGUCAAAAGGGAAACAGCCCAGAUCUACAGCUAAGGUCCCAAAUUGUAUCUAAGUGGAAAACGAUGUGGAAAUACGCAGACAACCAGGAUGUUGGCUCAGAAGCAGCCACUCAUUUAAAGAGUGCGUAAUAGCUCACUGGUCGAGCGUCUCUGCGCGGAAAAUUUAACGGGGCUAAGAUACAAACCGAAGCUUAGGCUGCAACGUAAGUUGCGGGGUAGGGGAGCGUUGUGUAAGCGGAGAAACAGUAGCGUAAGCGGCUGUGGAGUUUACAGAAGUGAGAAUGCCGGAAUGAGUAGCGCGAAUGUGGUGAGAAUCCACAUGGCCGGAAACCUCAGGUUUUUGGAGGAAGGUUCGUCCGCUCCAAGUUAGGCGGGAGCUAAGGUCAGGCCGAAAGGCGUAGCCGAUGCACAGACGGUAGAGAUUCCGUCCCCACCGAAAGAUUUAAGCACAGGGACACUUUUUGAAGGUCGGAGCCAGGUGUUGGUUCUGGUAGUGAUCGAGGGAAAUAUAGUACCGAAGUCCGGCUGGAAGAGAGGCGAGAAAAGCUGUGUGUAUAUCUAAGGUGCCCGUACCGCAAACCGACACAGGUAGGUAGGAAGAAGAUUCUAAGGCCAACGGGAGAAGGGUUGUUAAGGAACUCGGCAAGUUGACCCCGUAACUUCGGAAUAAGGGGUGCUCACGAGAGUGAGCCGCAGAGAAUAGGCCCAGGCAACUGUUUACCAAAAACACAGGUUUGUGCUAAAUCGAAAGAUGACGUAUACGAGCUGACGCCUGCCCGGUGCUGGAAGGUUAAAAGGAGAUGUGCAAGCAUUGAAUUGAAGCCCCAGUGAACGGCGGCCGUAACUAUAACGGUCCUAAGGUAGCGAAAUUCCUUGUCAGGUAAGUUCUGACCCGCAUGAAAGGCGUAAUGAUUUGGGCACUGUCUCAACAGCCCGCCCGGCGAAAUUGUAGUACCGGUGAAGAUGCCGGUUACCCGCGACAAGACGGAAAGACCCCAUGGAGCUUUACUGUAGCCUGAUAUUGGGUUUCGGUGUUGCAUGCACAGGAUAGAUGGGACGCUGGGAAAGAAGCGCUUUGGCGUUUCUGGAGCGGACGUUGGGAUACCAUCCUUGCGACAUUGGAAUUCUAACCUGCGCCUCUGAAUCGAGGCGGGGGACAUUGUCAGGUGGGCAGUUUGACUGGGGCGGUCGCCUCCUAAAAAGUAGCGGAGGCGUUCAAAGGUUCGUUCGAUCUGGACGGAAACCAGAUGAUUGAGUGCAAACGCAUAAACGAGCCUGACUGCGAGACUGACGGGUCGAGCAGAGACGAAAGUCGGAGUUAGUGAUCCGGUGGUAUGUGAGUGGAAAUGCCAUCGCUCAACGGAUAAAA
rnacentral:rRNA from 1 species